AGAAUCAACGCUGGCGGCGUGCCUAACACAUGCAAGUCGAACGCGAAAGUCCCGCAAGGGAUUAGUAGAGUGGCAAACGGGUGAGUAACACGUGGGUGACCUGCCUUCGAGCGGGGGAUAACGUCCCGAAAGGGACGCUAAUACCGCAUAACAUCCUGCCUUUGAAGAGGUGGAGAUCAAAGCCGGGGAUUCGCAAGAACCUGGCACUUGAAGAGGGGCCCGCGCCUGAUUAGCUAGUUGGUGGGGUAAUGGCCUACCAAGGCAACGAUCAGUA
rnacentral:rRNA from 1 species